AGACUGCCGGUGGUUAAGCCGGAGGAAGGUGGGGAGUGACGUCAAGUCCUCAUGGCCUUUAUGCCCAGGGCUACACACGUGCUACAAUGGGUGGUACAAAGAGAUGCCAACUCGCGAGAGCGCGCCAAUCUCAGAAAGCCAUCCUCAGUUCGGAUUGGAGUCUGCAACUCGACUCCAUGAAGUUGGAAUCGCUAGUAAUCGCGGAUCAGCACGCCGCGGUGAAUACGUUCCCGGGCCUU
rnacentral:rRNA from 1 species